rnacentral:lncRNA from 1 species
UUUUAACAACAGCUAGUGCCUGGUGUGGGGCUUACAGAUGUUGUCUAAGUUUCCACACAGCCCAGCUUUGUCAGCCAGCUCCAUCUUGACCUUGCCCUUGCAAUCCUGAGAUGUUCCUGAAGUGAAAUGCCUGUGUCAGUGGACUCUGCCAAAUGAGAUGGGGAUUUCCAGCGGCCAAGCCUGGGGGGGCUGUUUCCCUUGUGACCCAAGUAUCCUGGUCAUGAGCUGAUGGAAUCUGCAUUUGCAUGUACAGAGGAAUGGCUUUCCUUUGAAGGGUCAUUGACUGAAAAAAAUCACUAUUCAUGCAGAUCAAGAUAUUUUGUGGUCGUCCUGGGAAAUGCUGGGAGUAGUAGAGCUGGCACAAGUUACACAGGAUGGCUUUGCAGGGUUUCUGACGAAACGAGGAGUCCUACCGUCAUGAAGAACACUUGCUCUGGAGAGGUGUCUGCCUCUAGGUGUGUAGACCUAAUUUGGUUUGGAGAGAAGCAAACCUGUGAGUGAG